AUUUCUAUAAACAAAAUUAAAUGUUGAGAUUCAUAUUGACACGAAUGCAAAGCAUUGAACGUCAGCAACAUUGUAGCUAUGACUAUUUCGUUGUGGAAAUUCGCUAACAGCCAGUUAUCGCUCAUUUCAAUGAAAUUGAGGAUCAAAAGAAAGUUUGUGUUUGUCGUAGCCCUCCAAUCGCACAGAAGACUCAAUAGCAAAUGGCAAAAAUUAACACUAGUUUGCAAUACUUUGGACUUGAACGGAAUACUUUCGAAAUAUGAUGAAAUACAUUAGAAAAAUUAGAUAUGCUUAUAUGUAUAUACAUAUGUAUCUACAUAUGUAUGUAUAUGUAGGUACUCAAUAUGAAAGUGUGUGAGAGUAAGGAACAACUGGGCUGAAUAAACGUUAUAAUAUGAUAUUAACCAUUUCACAGCUGCUGUCAUAUAUAGGCUUCAACAACAAUUAAACGCAACAACAAUCGUUGUAGCGAAAAAAAAACGAUUCUUA